rnacentral:lncRNA from 1 species
CAAUCAAACAAACAAACAAGUUCAAAAAUAUAAUGUCCCGUCCAAAUUAAACAGUCCCAAAAAUAGAAAAAUGCGGAAAAGUAAAUCCUAUUCUAAACUAAUCCUAGACUAAGCUCCAAUGCUUUACCCGAUGCCUCGGGCCUUCAUCACAAACCUCCUUUGCGUACAUGAGAUGUCGGGGCAUUCCUUGGUGAAUAAAUACAAUGUGACCUCAGGACAUUCCCCGGCGAAUGAAUACAUUUGAUGAAAUGUAAUAAAAGUAGAUGCCUCAUUCAACACAGACAUUCACACAUUCAAUGAUAUAGAAUACUAUGAGUUGACUACCCCAAAACCUAAAAUUUGGCUAUCAUGCUUUCGUCCUAAAACAUGAUCCUACUGAGCUCACAAAAUUGAUAUUUAUUUCGCAUUAAACAAAACAAUAAUAAAUCAAAAUUAAUCCAAAUUCACUUUUUCAUCAAGUUUUUGAUUUCCACCCCGAUUUUGUUAUCCAAUUACCAAUUUCAAUUAUCCAAUAAAAUAUUAUUUUCAUCUAUUGUACCAUUCAAGAUCAAUCAUUCAACUCAAACUCAUGUCAAGCAACAAAUCACCCCUAAAUAGAACAAACACAUCAAAAUACCUCCAUAAUCAUAUAAAAUUAAAGGAAUAGAGUUGAAGAUUGGACCUCAAUUUGAUGAUUUAUUUUCAAUUAAAUAUGGAGGAGCCUUUCAGAUUCAGAACCUUGAAUCAAACCUCAACAGUCAACAAACGAGACCGCAACUCGAAGAAAACACAAAACCAAUAAGAAACUUCCAAACGAAACCCAAUUUGCUGAUUUCAAACUAGGCUUAAAUGGCUUGUUGGAAUCAGGGCCGGAUUAUCGUUUCCAUCAUAUCAGAGCUGCGGCGGACCAGACAGUCCAUGAAAUAGGUCUUUCGCUGGAGAAAGACCGCAAAAAAGGGAAUAGCAAUUUUUGGGGUUGUGAAUGACCCAUUUCCGUAAGGGUAUUCCGAUUCUGGAAAAACAAACUUACCAGAAAAUAGUUGAAUCUGCCUAUUUUUUGUCACCCAAACCACUCACCUUUCUCUCUCUUAGUCUAUAUCUUCCUUCGGCUUCUCUGUAUGUGCGUAUGUGCGAUGGCAGUGUGUGUACGAGUUUGUUCGUGGAUGAAUCUGUGAGGAUGAGUGAUUCCCAUUGGAGAUGAGUUUAUGAGUGUGUGUAUUUAUGUGUGUGAAUUGAGUGUGUUUUGUGAAUUCUCGAUGGAGGAUGUUGUAUGAGUGCAUGUGUGUGAUGAAUUGUGAAGGGAAUCUGUGUUGUUGUUAUCUGAGUGAGUCUCGAUGGUGGUGAUAGAGUUUACAUUUUAAUGGUGUGUGUAUAUGUAUAUAAUACGUGUGAAUUCCGUUUAAUGGGAAAGAAAAUUUGCCUUUGAUUGAGGGGCGAGGUAGGGGUAUGUGGGUAAGAGGUGGGGUAUGUGGGUAUUGGGUAGGGGUAGGUUGUUAUUUUUAUUAGCGUGAGGUAUUAAUUUGUUAUGGAUUUAUUGGAAUUUUAUUAUUUUUGUAUUUUUUGGGGGGUAUAAUCAUAUGGGUGAUACGGUGAGGAAAAAAUGAAUAAAUUGAACUUCGGGAGGGAUAAAAUUAUGUGUCUACAUCAUGACGCUUUUUGGGUGUAAACACAAAGUGUUUUCAGAAAAAAAAAAAAGACAACGAGACCAAAUUUUGACCGGACCAUUAUUCGAAGAAAGAAAUAGUAGGAAGGAGGACAACCGAGUAGGAGGGUCGAGUGAAUACUUGUCGAGGUUUCGGUCCGCGACUCUGUCAUUACAUCAAAAAUAAAAGUUACAAGUUAAAAGAUAACUAAAAUUACAAAAUUCCUAUCUAUGCAGCUACUUUUCGACUCUUGACUUGAGUUUCAGCACCCUGAUCUCCGGGUGGGCUCCCGACUUGUAAUUUCAUCACUUUAUUCUCCAGGCGGGCUCCUAACUUGCAAUUUCUUUAACUUGUUGCUUGACUUUCAAUUCCUUCACCCUGUUCUCUAGGCAGGAUCCUGACUUGGUAUUUUUCAAUCUGUUGACUUUCAAUUUCUUCACCCUGUUAUCCAGGCGGGCUCCCGACUUGCUAUUUUUCAAUCUGUUAACUUUCAAUUUCUUCAUCUUGUUGCUUGUUUUUCAACUUGUUGGCCUUGUUGUUUGACUUUCAACUUCUUCACUUUGUUGCUUGACUUUCAACUUAUUCGCCCUGUUCUUCAGGCAGGCUCCUGAAAUCUUAUCAAAACUAAAAAGAAAAUUAUUCCAAACAAAGAUUAUUAUAAUGAGAGAUUCCAUUUACCGGAAAAGUAAAGUUCCAAACAACAGGAGUUAGAUUUGUUGCCCCAGUUUAUCAUAAGAGGACUUUUGUGAAUGUCGAAUCCAAUUAUAAUUAUUUGUAUGUUGCAAUGAUGAAUCAAGACUCUGACCAAGAAAUGCAUCUCUAGAGAGUAAAAUUAAAUGACCAAGACUAGGAAGUGUGUCUCCUAAGAAUUAAAGUGAGGAAUUCCGACUAGAAAGUGUGUAUUCUAGAGCUAAAGGUUCAAAUUAGGAAGUGUGCCACCUGAUAAAUAAAAACUGACAAGGAAGUGCAUCCCCUAGGGGUUAAGUGCAAUGAUUCGACUAGAAAGUACAUCUUCUAGGAAUCAAGGGGACUGACUCGACUAGGAAGGACACCUUUUAGGAAUCAAGGGGACUGACUCAACUAGGAAGCACACUUUCUAGGAAUCAAGGGGAAUGACUCGACCAGGAAGUAUUUCUUCUAGGAAUCAAGGGGACUGACUCGACCAGGAAGUACAUCUUCUAGGAAUCAAGAGGGAUGACUCGACCAGGAAGUACAUCUUCUAGGAAUCAAGGGGAAUGACUCAACCAGGAAGUACAUCUUCUAGGAAUCAGGGGGACUGACUCGACUAGGAAGUUCAUCUUCUAGGAAUCAAGGGGACUGACUCAAUCAGGAAGUAAAUCUUAUGGGAAUCAAGGGUACUGACUCGACGAGGAAUCACAUCUUCUAGGAAUCAAGGGAAGUGACUCGACUAGGAAGUACAUAUUCUAGGAGUCAAGACUUAAUUUAGGAAGUGCAUCACCUAACAAGUAAAAUUCGAAUUACCCAAUCAAGGAAGUGCAUCUCCUUACCAAUGGCGCUUGAAUUGCCGAAACAAAGAAGUGCGUCUACUUACCAAUGUCGCUUGAAUUUUCCAAACAAGGAAGUGCGUCUCCUUAUAAAUGCCACUUGAAUUACCCAAACAGGGAAGUGCGUCUCCCCACAAAUGCCACUUGAAUUACCCAAAGAAAUGCGUCUCCUUACAAAUGUCGUUUGAAUUAACCAAACAAGGAAGUGCGUCUCCUUACAAAUGACGCUUAAAUUAUCCAGACAAGGAAAUGUGUCUCCUAACAAAUGCCACUUGAAUUUCCCAAGGAAAUACGUCUUUUUACAAAUGUCACUUAAUCUACCCAUACAAGCACUACUAAAAAAUGUCAAAAAGCGACGGCCAGCGUCGCUUUUUUGGGCAAAAACGAUGGAAAUUCAUCGUUUUUUCGGUCUUAAAAAGGGGUGUCAUUUUUUGAAAACGAUGGCCUGAGUCGCUUUUACGAAUUUUUUUUAAAUUAUUUUUUUAAAAAGCAACGUUGUGCGUCACUUUUUCUUCUUUAUGUGAAGAACUCAUGAUGAACCAAAAAUGAUGGACAUCGUCGUUUUAUUAAAAAAUAAUUUUUUUUCAAAAAAAUUAACACUGUCUGUCAUAAUUUGAGAAAAAUAAAAUAUAUUUUUUAAAAAGGCGACGUUGGUCAUCGAUUUUUGUUCUUCAUUAUGAAUAAAAAGUGACGUUGGUCGUCCCUUUUUGUUCUUCAUAAUGAAUAAAAAGCAAUGUUGGUCGUGGCAUUUUGUUCUUCAUAAUGAAUAAAAAGCGACGUUGGUCGUCACUUUUUGUUCUUCAUAAUGAAUAAAAAAGCGACGACCGUCGUCGAUUUUUUGUAAAUUUUUUAUGCAGAAAUCUGCAUUUUCUGCAUCCCACCUGUCAAAUAAAAAUGCAAUUCAAUAUAUACAUCCCUCAUGCAACACACAUCAUUACAAUAUUCAUACAACAAACUACAUCAACAAAUCAUUUAACCAAUUCAAAUCAACAACACUUAAACAAAUUUCAAUGCUCUAAUUCACUUCUCAAAUGACUUAACUUAACCAUUUUCAAGUUAUGAAUUCACAUUUCACGUAUCAACACUAAACCAAUUUCAAGUCAUGAAUUCACAUUUGCAAGUGAUUACACUUCAAAAAUUUAAAAACACAAGUUCACCAUGCAAGAACUACAUUAAUCCAUUUUCAAGUCGCUAAUCCACUUUUCAAGUGACUAGUACACAUUUCAAAACACUACACUUAACCAUUUUCAACUCUCUAAUUCAUUUCUCAAAUGACUAAACUUAACCAUUUUCAAGUCAUGAAUUCACAUUUCAAGUAUCAACACUAAACCAAUUUCAAGUCAUGAGUUCACAUUUUCAAGUGAUUACACUUUACAAAUUUCAAAACACAAGUUCACCUUUCAAGAACUACAUUAAACCAUUUUCAAGUCGCUAAUCCACUUUUCAAGUGACUAGUACACAUUUCAAAAUACUACACUUAACCAUUUUCAACUCUCUAAUUCACUUCUCAAAUUACUAAACCUAACCAUUUUCAAAUCAUGAAUUUACAUUUCAAGUAUUAACAUUAAACCAAUUUCAAGUCAUGAAUUCAUCUUUUCAAGUGGUUACACUUUAACAAUUUUAAAACGCAAGUUCACCUUUCAAGAACUACAUUUCAAGUCGCUAAUCCACUUUUCAAGUGACUAGUACACAUUUCAAAAUACUACACUUCUCAAAUGACUAAACUUAACCAUUUUCAAGUCAUGAAUUCACAUUUCAAGUAUCAACACUAAACCAAUUUCAAGUCAUGAAUUCACAUUUUCAAGUGAUUACACUUUACAAAUUUCAAAACAUAAGUUCACUUUUCAAGAACUACAUUAAACCAUUUUCAAGUCGCUGAUCCACUUUUCAAGUGACUAGUACACAUUUCAAAACACUACACUUAACCAUUUUCAACUCUUUAAUUCACUUCUCAAAUGACUAAACUUAACGAUUUUUAAGUCAUGAAUUCACAUUUUCAAUUGAUUACACUUUAAAAAUUUCAAAACACAAGUUCACCUUUCAAGAACUACAUUAUACCAUUUUCAAGUCGCUAAUACACUUUUCAAGUGACUAGUACACAUUUAAAAGCACUACACUUAACCAUUUUCAACUCUCUAAUUCACUUCUCAAGAGACUAAACUUAACCAUUUUAUAGUCGUGAAUUCACAUUUAAAGUUUCAACACUAAACCAAUUUCAAGUCAUGAAUUCACAUUUUCAAGUGAUUACACUUUACAAAUUUGAAAACACAAGUUCACCUUUCAAGAACCACAUUAAACCAUUUUCAAGUCGCUAAUCCACUUUUCAAGUGACUAGUACACAUUUCAUAACACUACACUUAACCAUUUUCAACUCUCUAAUUCACUUCUCAAAUUACUAAACUUAACCAUUUUCAAGUCAUGAAUUCACAUUUCAAAUAUCAACAGUAAACCAAUUUCAAGUCACGAAUUCACAUUUUCAAGUGAUUACACUUUACAAAUUUCAAAACACAAGUUCACCUUUCAAUAACUACAUUAAACCAUUUUCAAGUCGCUAAUCCAAUUUUCAAGUGACUAGUACACAUUUCAAAAUACUACACUUAACCAUUUUUAACUCUCUAAUUCAUUUCUUAAAUGACUUAACUUAACCAUUUUCAAGUCAUGAAUUCACAUUUCAAGUAUAAACACUAAACCAAUUUCAAAUCAUUAAUUCACAUUUUCAAGUGAUUGUUGACACCUAAUUUUUUUCCUCCGUAACUGAGUUUAGUCUUGAGUUUCUUCGAUUUUAAAAUAAAAUUACAACAUUUACUUUACCCGAAUAAAAGAUUUUCAAAUCGUUUAGUCGGCUAAUUUCAUCGUUUAAGUGACGAUUAUAUACUAUCGUAUUCAAUUAUACGAAAAUAUAUAUAUAAUUUUGUCGCUUAAACAUUUAUUCUACGGAAUGCCGGUCUUUUAAUUAAGGAUUAUCUUGAAAAUAAUUUUAAUAAUUAGAAUCUUGAUUCAAAUAAUUUACUCUCAAAAAAUAAUUUAUUCGGAUGAAUAUGUGUUUAAUUUUUAUCGAAUCAAGAAGCUUGGGGUUAAAUAAGCUAUUAAUUCAUUUCAAGAAAUGAUUUAAUUUGGAAAAUCUGUUACAUUCGUCCGCAAUUGAAAUCAAAUUGGCCAUAAUUGCGAUGCAAUUGGCCAAUUGAUCUUCAAUUCAGCCAAAACCUGAAUGAAUGGCCAAAUCCUCAAUUUCAACCCAAUUAGCAAAUCAGUAGCGGCCCAUUUUCUCUUCAAUUAUAUCAACCGGACCGAGCCAUAUAUUCCUGACCCACCAGCCCACCCCCUAUUUUCCAAAUUCCCAAAAUAAUCUAAACCAGCCCAAUGAUAAUUAACUGCCACCCCAAGCCCAACAACAAACGACCGGCCCAGCGCCUAAACCCCUACCCAGCCCAUCUUCUUUUCCUCUUUAACUUCCAUAAGCAACAAAAACUUCAAGUCAACACCAACCAUCGUUAACACCAACCAAAUCUAGAACCCACCUUCAACCCAGAAUUUGGAGAAACUAGAAACCAACUCCAUCCUUCUUCACGCGUUCCAUGCGAUAGCACGAUGAGGAAAGACCUAAAAGCUUCUAGAAAAUAGGUGAGUUGGCUCACCCCAACGGAUAAAUUCCAUGAAUCUCAAAAUUAUUGGUACGAUUUCAUACCUAUGUGUUUGGUUUUGAUUUGUUUUGGGAGGGGAUUUCUACUUUUCCUUUUCCUAUUGGUUGGAACCAAUUCAAAAUUUUCCAAGAAUCCAAAAAUCGGUACAAGUUCGAGUAACAAAUCCCGUUGUCAACCUUAUCAUCAGUUUUGAAUUUUGAAAUUUUUGUAAAAUACCAAGACUGCCCUUACGGGAAGCCCAAAAAUGAACCCUAUCUUUUUGUUUCUCUAUAAAGAGGGGGGCUUGAGUAUUCUAAGGGAGUCUCUUGCUUUUGGGGGGAGGAAGGAAAAAAUUUCUUGAGAGGAAAAUUCUAGGUCACUGUUUAUGGCAUUUUUUUUCUCUUCUUUUCCUUCUGAGGUUGAUAUUACGAGGUUAGUUAUCGAGAGGGGUUUUUCUUUUCUUUUUUUUUUUUGGCUUUUUGGGGAGGGGUUAGAAAUCUUGGUUGAAAUUAGAAGGUUUGAGACAAGAUUUGGAAAGAAACUGAAGAAAAAUUUUUCUUAAGCUAGUUCGAAAGGUUGAUUAGAAGUUGGGUUGGGGAUUCUGAAAUCAAAGAAGUUUAUUUCCUGAAAAAUUUGCUCGUCCAUUUCUUUUUUGGAAGCUAGUCGAUUAAUUAGGAAUUCCCGAGUCGACAACAUUAAUUCCCAGUGGUGACGACUUUACUAAUAGCUUAUCGUCCCGCUUGCUGCUCUGGAAUAGGUAAAGAUCCCUCAUCCUGUUUAAUAUACCGUUCUCUUCUUCCACCUUGUUUCAUUGUAAUGAUGUUUGGUCAUUCGAAUAUAAGGUCUAUUAGGGGGGCUGUAUUGGUUUAAAAGAUGAACAUAGUGUCUAUUAUGAGGGUGUAUGAUCUUUUGAAUGGUGGAGAGUCUGUUGUCUGGUUAUUUUCUUAAAGAAAUCCCUAUUCAUAGUUUCAUCUUGGUUGGUUCUGGUUCACUUGUUUUAUUUUGUUCACAAGACUGAAGCUUAAAAUGUGUAGGGGUUUUGUGGGUAUCCUGACCCCUAUUGAUCAAUUGCAAAAAAUGUGUUGGAAGUACAAGUAGUUUAUUAGCACGUGAGUCGUCUGAUGGUUGUUUAUAUUUUCAAACUCAAGUUGUCCGCUUGAGAACCAGUUUUCAAACCCACUCUAGAUACUUAGGAUAGAGCGAAACCAAAACCCUAUUUUAGGUAUGAGCCUAGGACGACAUAAUACCCGAGUGGGGUAUUGGGCCCAUUGAAAACCUACCCUGCGUCUAUUAACCCCGAGUAAAUUACAGAAGAAUCAUAUUUAUGUGUUGAAGAAAUAUAUGUUUGUUUUAUCCAAUCCAUUAUCCUUUGGGGGUCGGGAGAAUACUUGUUUUACUCACUUUUGUAUAAGGAUGCCUCAAUCGUACACCGAUUGACGAAAGAAUUGAAAUUGAUCGAUUUGGAAGGUUGCAUCUAAGGCACAGUUUACAUACGUCACCAAUAUAAGAAGGCGGAGGUUGAUAGAAGAAGCACUCAGGAAUUAGUAUUUUCUAUCCCCUGCGUGGGAGCUUUUCUUCUUUCAUGCUAUUUCCCUUGUUUCCUAAAGAUUGUACCCCUCUUUUGUUAUCGUUUGUAAGCACUUACGCAUACCUUUUUCGUGUCUAUAUAAGUUGGAUGAUAAUGGAUUGACUUUAUGAAAGCAUAUACUUUCUUCAAAAAUCGUUAGGCCUGAACCCUUGGUUCAAAAAGGGUCACCCCAGUUAGGAUACACAUUAUUAUAAUGUUUUGUGUAAUUGUCUUAUGAGCUUAUGUGUGUUUGUUUGGAUCAAAGGCAAGUUGAUCCGCUAUGCUCCUAUGGAUUAAUUGGAUAUGACUCAAACAACUCUACGUGGUUAUUUCUUGUCAAAUAUUUUGCAUUACUUAUCACAUACAAAAACUAACACAUCUGCUUUUGAGUUGUUUUACUUUACAGAUAAUAGAAACUACUCUGUGUUGAUAUAAGCUGGCAGAACAUCCCUACUUUAUCCACCCUAAAGUGCAUAAAAUCCCAUCCUCUGACCAUCAUUCAAUAGUGAUUGGAAAUGAUGAAGAAAACACGUUGGCCAUCAGGGACAAUGUAAUAGUGGAACAGAGUGAGAUGAUUGCGAAACUCGCAAGAAAAUUAGAAAUGCUUCAGGAGGAAAUAAAUCGUACUCGAGAUUUGGCUCACCUGGCCAUCACUAUUAAUGCUCCCGCUCCAGGAGAACAUGAUACUCCACUCCAAAUCCCUUCCCUCAGUACGCCUAUUCUUGGGGAUCAACCAAAUAACAUAUCAUUCGUCUCUGCCCCUCCACUUGUCCAAAAUACCAAUCAUGAAAAUAACCCAGAUGCUUACCAUCCACAAAAUCCAUCUCUAACCCCACAAAAUCCAUUUCUGAAUCCAUCUCCAAAUCCUCAAAAUACAUUCACAAAUCAACAAAACACAUUCCCAAAUCCGCAAAAUUCACUCCCAAAUCCACAAAAUAUGUCAAACCUACCUUUGAAUCCACCAAAUUCAUUUCCAAAUCUGCAAAAUCCUUCUCAUAUUCUGCCAAACUACUCACAAAGUCCACAGAACCUUCCCAAUUUUCAAAACAUACUCCCCACUUACCAACCAAGUUCUUUUCUUCCACAAAAUCAAGCCUCCCUUCAAAAUCCCCCUCAAGCCAUCAUAUCCCCUGAUAUUUUUGAACCCCUUCCUAACCCUGAGAUGGACCAUUACAAAGAAAAGGAGAAAGAGUAGAGUAUGAACCCCUUCCGAACCCCGAGAUGGACCAUUACGAGGAGAAGGAGAAAGAGUGAAGGACCCAGCAUGAAAGGAAUUUACUAGCUAUGAAGGAAGAGAUCAUGAGGAUCAAAGAGUCUCAUAGAGCCAGGGACCACGGCGGUUUAGGGUAUGACGAUUUAUCCGUUCACCUGGGAGUAGACCUACCAUAUGGGUACAAAGUCCCUAAGUUUGAGAUAUUUGAUGGUACCAAAAAUCCAAUGGCCCACCUGAGAAGGUACUGUGAGCAACUGGUAGGAAUAGGGAAAAACGAGGCAUUAUUGAUGCGCCUAUUAAGUCAAAGUUUGAGUGGCAAAACCUUGGAGUGGUUCAUGUCUCAGGAGCUAAAAAAGUGGACUGGAUGGAAAGCAUUGGCCAAGGGUUUCCUUGACCGGUUCGUAUUCAGCAUUGAAAUAGUCCCUGAUCGAUAUUCACUAUAUCGGAUCAAACAGAGAAAAGUUGAGAGUUUUUGAGACUAUGCUUUUCGUUGGAGAAAAGAAGCCGCCAAAGUGCAACCCCCCAUGUCCGAGGAGGAAAUGGUAUUCGUGUUCUCUCGCGCUCAUGAAGGAGAAUAUUAUACCAGGAUGGUGUCCGCUGUCAGGGCAAUUUUUGUGGAUUUGGCAAAAAUAAGAGAAUAAUUGGAAGAAGGUAUUUGGACAGGGAAAAUUGCCAAAACCCCGACGUCGUCUGCGACUGUCAUGUUCUCGAAGAAGAAAAAUGAAGAUGUAGGUGUGAUUUCUGCUAAUCCUGUUGCGAAAACGAAAAAGAGGUUCAACUUUAGAAAUGUUUUAUCUUCUCCGCCGUCACCCAACCUCCAACACGUGUUCUACGCGCAUCCCCAAUACCUAGCUCCACUCUCAAAUGCCCAACCUCCAUAUUAAUAAAAAUUAUGUAAAAUGUCGGAUUUGAAUUAAUAAAUUAUGAAAAAUGAUAAUUUAAUAAAUGUUGAAAUGACGAUAAAAAUAGUAAGACGUCACCACUCCCAAACAUCCAAUCCUCAUACCAAGCUCCACAACCAAAUACCUUUUCUCAUUACCUAGCUCCACCUCCAAAUUAUCAAUCUCAUUUACAAUCCACUCCUCUAAAUAACCAAACAAAUUUCCAAGCGCCUCCAAAUUAUCACCAAGUACCUCCUCCUCCAAAUCAAAGCCAGUACAACCCCCAACGUCUAAACCACGAAAAGAAACGUCCCCAAAACUUUACCCCACUAGGUGAAAGUCGCACUUAAUUGUUUGAAAGAUUGAAGAAUGCUGGUCAUUUGAAACCAACAUAGCCAAGGCAUGUCAAUACUAACUCUUGAUUUUUCAAUGCAAGUCAACAUUGUACCUAUCAUUCAAGAGUAGCGGGGCACAAUACAGAAGAUUGUGGCUACCUGAAACAUAGGAUCUAUGAUUUAAUCGAUCAGAAGGUCAUUACGCUCCAGGCACCUACACCAAAUGUUAACAGUAAUCCAUUGCCUAACCAUGGGGGGCCUACAGCUAACAUGAUUGAAAUAGAGGGUGAACGGGCAUCCAGCAAGACCAUCACUAAGGUAAAUUCAAAAGGACUCAAAAGAAUAAAAGAGGUGGAGAAGAUAGAGAAAGUUGUGACCACCUUAAGUAAGGAUUUGGAAGGAAUUGUUGAGCCUGUUAUGGUCCCAGAAAAAGCAUUUAAGCAUGGAAUAGAGUACCAACCAAGAAAAGAAAAUGAGAUCGAAGAUAAUUCAAAGGAGAGUCCGUCUAAACCAUCGUCACUCCUGCACCAAUUAUUUCCCUUACAUGAGACGUUAAAUGAUGAUGGUAUUGGGGAUGGGAUAGGAAAUCUGUUCAAGGGAUACAGUGCUGUAUCAGAAGAUUUUUCAAAACAUAGUGGGGUAAAGAAGGUUGCACCAGGAGAGGCUUUGCAAAAUUGGACUUCCACUCCGCUCCUAAUUCAUCACCCGUCGCUGUAGAUGGAAAGACAAUUACUAAUAGUUUUUAAAAUCGGUGAUGAUUCGGAAGAGGCCCUGUGAUCCAUCCUUUUAUGUCUCAAAUUGUCGUUUCGUGUUUUACAACUUUCAAAAAGGCAUGGGCCCACAUUUGUGUGGGUCAUAAGCCAUGGUUUUAUUUUCUUAUUUUCUGAAAGGCCUCCCUUUAUUUAAGAAGUUAUUUUUUUAAAUAUGAUUAUCUAGCAUGGUUUAUAUUGGUAGCAUUAAUUUAAAAACCUGUCAAUGUCAUGUCAUGUCAAGGGUAAGAUGAACACGGCGAAGGAAAUAAUGAUGAACAGAAAAGGUGAUGAGGAGCGGUUAGUAGUAGAUAUAAAGGAAUGUGAAAAUCAAAAGAAGCCCAACCUAGAGGAGCCCUAAUCCUACCUGAGACGUAUGGUCAAGAGUGGACCAAACUGAUCAAUUCUGAUGCGGUAAAGAUAUAUCAUGCUUGAAAGAUGUUAUAGUUUUUGCUUCUUGGCUUAUUUGUAAUCUCCUUUAUAAUAGUAUCAAUUUUAUGAAGUGUAAUCGCCUAGAAUCCUUUCCUUUUAUGUUCGAACUACGUUUGACCUGAAUUCCCAAAAGGGAGGCGGCCUAUGUCGGCUUCGGUCAACCCCUUAGGAAAUUUAUCCUUUCCCUUUAUGUAUGAACUACGUGAUGACCUAAAUUCCUGAGAAAGGGAUACGUAGGUGGCCUAUGUCGGCUUUGGUCAACCCAUUAAUUUCUUUUGUAUAUCCCUAGCGUAGUUUUGAACUACGUUUGACCUGAUUCCUGCUUCAACGGGAUACGUAGGCACCCCAACGGCUCAGUCAUACCCUAGAAAAUGGAAACUGGGGCAGAAUUUUCGAGAAGGAACCUCAAAAAUUCAUAAGAGAAGAUCGAUGCCGAACAAAGAGAAUGAAGAUCAGCAAAGACUUCAGAUCCACUCGAGUUAGUAUCAUCCCAAACAACUCUAAACUGGGGCAAAAAGUUUGAGGGAAGACCUCAAAAUUUCGACCAGACGCUGGAACAUAUUUCAAAUUCCCCAGCACUAGAGGUCAAAGUUGAGAUUGGAGAAUCACCACCUGUGAUAAAUAUUAGGAAGAUUGAAUCACCGUCUUUGAUAAAAACUUCUGGUAGAGAUCCUUGACAAUACUGAAUCCCUAACAAUCCUCUGUCAAACGUCGGACAUUGUCAGAAUCAAGAAAAAGAUGGUCGUUGGACUAGCACAUGACAUGACUAGCAGAGAUUUUCUAAAGCUUUCGAAACUAAUUUCUAAAAUUUAAGACUACUUUCAAAAAUCCUCAUAAAUCUUUUAAUUAGUAUUUACCUAGACAUCAAUUGGGACGGAGAGUCAGGGGUAGAGGUCCCAGCAUGAUGAAGCACCUGAAAGAUGGCGAGGAGCAAAUCAAGGAUUGAAUGAGGUCAAAACGGAGUAAUUUUAUUCAAACUAAUCAUUUUUUUGUGGAUGCAGGGAUCAAUACACAAAAAUAAGAGUCUCUUUCAAAAAAUACCCAGCAAAUUGGGUGCCACACUGGAGCAUUAAUGCCCAAGAACGGUGUUUUAGGGUAGCCCUAAAAAUAGGUUUAAUGCCCAUUUAAUGAGGACCUUUUGAUUUGUCCAUCUCAUUUCUUGAGAUCGUAGGCGACAAACAAAAGCUCUUUGUCUUCUUUACAAAUAUUAUAUUUAGAAGUUUCCUAAAAAUAGUCGCUAGUAAAAGAGACUUUGUGUUUACUAAUCGUCCACCUUGAGUACAGGUACAUGUAGAAAGCAGGACACUGACAAAUAAAGCCACGUAAAAUUAUUUUAUCAUUGCCGCAAAGGCCAUUAGAUAUCAUUGCCGCAAAGGCCAUCGCAUAUCAUUGCCGUAAAGGCCAUGACAUAUUAUUAUCGCAAGGGCAAUCACAUAUCAUUGCCGCAAAGAACAAUACAUAUCAUUGCUGCAAAGACCAUUACAUAUCAUUGCCGCAAAGGUCAUUACAUAUCAUUGCCGCAAAGUCCAUUACAUAUCAUUGCCGUAAAGGCCAUUACAUAUCAUCGCCAUAAAGGCCAUUACAUAUCAUUGCCGCCAGGGCAAUCUCAUAUCAUUGCCACAAUGGCCAUUUCAUAUCAUUACCGCAAAGGCCAUCUCAUACCAUUGCCCCAGAAGGCAUUCAAUAUCUGUUGACGCGCUAGACACAAUGCUGGCAUCGAGGAUAUCAUCAUCAUUCAAUAUCUGUUGACGCGCUAGACACAAUGCUGGCAUCGAGGAUAUCAUCAUUCAAUAUCUGUUGAUGUGCUAGACACAACGUUGGCGUCGAGGAUAUCCUCAUCAUUCAAUAUCUAUUGAUGCGCUAGACAUAACACUGGCAUCGAGGAUAUCACCAGCAUUCAAUAUAUCUGUUGACGUGCUAGACACAACGCUGGCAUCGAGGAUAUCAUCAUCUUUUCAUGAAUCAGUAGCUGAAUGCAUCGAGAGCGCAUGAUUUGAAGGGACGCCUUUAAGUCGCUAUCUAUGGAUGAAAGAUAUAUAAGGUUUCCUAGAAAUUGACAAUUUGAGGGUCAUCUAUAAGUCAUAUUAUUUGAAAUAGGAUAGUGUGCAAGAUCACCUAUGAGUUGAUAGCUUGUAGGUCAUCCGUAAGCCACAACAACAUCCUAACCGAAUAAUGUGCAAGAUUGCCCAAAAAUCGAUAGUUCAAAGGUUAUCCACAAGCCGCAACUAAAUCCUUACCGGAGAAUAUGCAAGAUUAACAAAUUGAUAUGUCCAAAGGUUCUCUAUAAGACGCGUCAUAUCCAAGAUUGAUUAUGUGCAGGAUUACCCAAAGACUAAUAAUUUGAGGGAUUAUCUAUAAGUCAUAUUGUAUCCAAGGUCGGAUGAUGUGCAUCAACACCUGAAAGCUAGCAACUGGAGGGAUAUCGGUAAGCCAUCUCUUAUCCAAAGUCAAAUAAUGUGCAGGAUUACCUAAAAGCUAGCAAUUCAAAGGAUAUUUGUAAGUCGCCUCGUAUCCAACUUCAAAUAAUGCACAAGAUUAUCCAAAGAUUGACAAUUUAAAAAAAAAAAUUAUAAAUCGAUCAUCUGCUAUAACCAAAGAGGUUAUCAUUCCACAUACAAAAAGUGAUAUAGGUAACCAAAAGGGUUGCCACACCAGUAUAAGAUUACACAGCUAUAGGGACCGUUCUACAAAAAAUAUCCUCGGUGUCCAAAAGGGCCACCCCACUCUGAAGGCAUAUUCAACCGACAAAUGUCAUAAUUAUACAACAACCAAGAUGAUUGUUGUAUUUGUUGUUGCCAGUUAUUUCAUUCCAAAACAGGUGCAUGGAAAGAUGACUUUGCUUCUUAGACAACAACUCACGUGGAGAUGUGGUAAAAACUAUACUCCUUUCUCGUGAAUUGUGCUUAUUAUUAAUGAUUUUUGUUUGAGAUAUUGUUGAGAGCAUCCGAGAGGAUGAAAAUCUCAAAUCAAAACCACAGGUGCGGACGACUCCCAAAAAGAACGCAGCACAACGUCGAACUCUGACUCAGCAGCAAAAUGGGACAUAGUCUGGAGAGAGAUGCCAAACUCUCUAGACACGAGCUAAAUGAUGAUCACCACCACCAUCUAACCACGCCUCUAUUAGAAAGAAUGUGGGUAUUUUUGGAUAUUAUGGUCUCAGCUUUACUUUUGAGAUGUUUUCUUAACUCAUAUCGAGAGGAACUUUCUCAUCCUUUCAAAUUCAAGUGACAACAUACUUAGAAUUUUGGAAAUUAUGGCCGGGUAAGUUCUUUUCUAUGAGUGGGAAGGAUCCCACAUUCUUGAUUAAGAGGUUACAAGCCUUUUUCCACAGCUCAAUCAACUUGUCAUUUAUCCUAAGCCAAAGACCGUCUGAAAUAAAGGCUAUCUUUUCUACCGAUUGAGUCGAACUACAAGCAGUCUGAUUCCUUAAGUCUUGGGGAUAUGUAGGCUGGGCUCCGUAUAGAAAACUCAAUUGCGUUCCAACCUCCCCUAAAUCCCUCUACUCCCUCACUUUUUUUAUUUUAUCAUAAAUUCCCAAAAAAUCGAGAUAUCUUGUGAAUUUUUGAAACCUGAUGCCGAGGUCCUGCCAUAACUCCUUAGGAUCGUACAUAAACCAACUUCCUCCAGAUAUGAAUUUGUGGUCGGACAAAAUUAGGGACAUCAACCUCUCUUUGCCCAGGGUCACUUGCAUUCACCCUAUCCAAAGGGAGAGGGCAGUUGUUGACACCUAAUUUUUGCCCACAGUAACUGAGUUUAGUCUCGAGUUUCUUUGAUUUUAAAAAAAAAUUACAACAUUUACUUUACCCGAAUAAAAGAUUUUCAAAUCGUUUAGUUGGCUAAUUUCAUCGUUUAAGUGAUGAUUAUAUACUAUCGUAUUCAAUUAUACGAAAAUAUAUAUAUAAUUUUGUCGCUUAAACAUUUAUUCUACGGAAUGCCGGUAUUUUAAUUAAGGAUUAUCUUGAAAAUAAUUUUACUAAUUAGAAUCUUGAUUCAAAUAAUUUACUCUCAAAAAAUAAUUUAUUCAGAUGAAUAUGUAUUCAAUUUUUAUCGAAUCAAGAAGCUCGGGGUUAAAUAAGCUAUUAAUUCAUUUCAAGAAAUGAUUUAAUUUGGCCAAUCUGUUAGAUUCGGCCGCAAUUGAAAUCAAAUUGGUAAUAAUUGUGAUGCAAUUGGCCAAUUGAUCUUCAAUUCGGCCAAAACCUAAAUGAAUGGCCAAAUCCUCAAUUUCGACCCAAUUAGCAAAUCAGUAGCGGCCCAUUUUCUCUUCAAUUAUAUCAAUCGAACCGAGCCAUAUAUUCCUGACCCACCAGCCCACUCUCUAUUUUCCAAAUUCCCAAAAUAAUCUAAACCAGUCCAAUGAUAUUUAACUGUCACCCCAAGCCCAAUAUCAAACGACCGGCCCAGCGCCUAAACCCCUACUAACCCAUCUUCUUUUCCUCCUUAAAUUCCAUAAGCAACAGCAACUUCAAGUCAACACCAACCAUCAUCAACACCAACCAAAUCCAAAACCCACCUUCAACCCAGAAUUCGGAGAAACCAGUAACCAACUCCAUCCUUCUUCACGCGUUCCACAUGAUAGCACGAUAAGAAAAAACCUAAAAGCUUCUAGAAAAUGGGUGAGUUGGCUUACCCCAACGGCCAAAUUCCUUGAAUCUCAGAAUUAUUGGUACGAUUUCGUACCUAUGUGUUUUUUGGUUUUGAUUGGUCUUGGGAGCGGAUUUAUACGUUUCCUUUUCCUAUUGGUUGGAACCAAUUCGAAAUUUUUCAAGAAUCCAAAAAUCGGUAAAAGUUCGAGUAACAAAUCCUAUUAUCAACCUUAUCAUCAGUUUUGAAUUUUGAAAUUUUGGAAAAAUACCAAGACUGACCUUACGGAAAGCCCAAAAAUGAACCCUAUCUUUUUGUUCCUCUAUAAAGAGGUGGGCUUGAGGGUUCUAAGGGGGUCUGAGGGAGGAAAAAAGUUCUUGCGAGGAAAAUUCUAGGUCACUAUUUAGGUUAUUUUUUUCUCUUCUUUCCCUUCUGAUGUUGAUAUUACGAGGUUAGUUAUCGAGAGGGGUUUUUCUUUUCUUUCUUUAUUUUGGCUUUUCAGGGAGGGGUUAGAAAUCUUGGUUGAAGAUUAGAAGGUUAGAGACAAGAUUUCGAAAGAAACUGAAGGAAAAUUUUUCUUAAGUUAGCUUGAAAGGCUGAUUAUAAGUUGGGUUGGGGAUUCUGAAAUCAAAGAAGUUUAUUUCGUGAAAAAUUUGCUCGUCCAUUUCUUUUUGGGAAGCUAGUCGAUUAAUUGGGAAUUCCCGAGUCGACAACAUCAAUUCCCAGUGGUGAUGACUUUACUGAUAGCUCAUCGUCCCACUUGCUGCUCUGGAACAUGUAAAGAUCCCUCAUCCUAUUUAAUUUACCGUACUAUUUUUCCACCUCGUUUUGCUGUAAUAAUGUUUGGUCGUUCAAAUAUGAGGUCUAUUGGGGAGGGAGGGGCUUUGUUGGUUUAAAAGAUGAACAUAGUGGCUUUUGUCAGGGUGUAUGGUCUUUUAAAUGGUGGAGAGUCUGUUGUCUGGUUAUUUUCUUAAAGAAAUCCCUAUUCAUGGUUUCAUCUUGGUUGGUUCUGGUUCACUUGUUUGAUUUUGUUCACAAGACUGAAGCUUAAAAUGUGUAGGGGCGUACUCAGGGAAGUAUGAGUCUGUUUUCUUGAUUCCCAUAUGUAAUAAUGCAGAAAGUGAUGGCUCUUUGGGGUUGUUUCUGGAUGUGUUUUAAUCAUAUCCUUGUAUAGCAUACCAAGUCCAGAUUGUCAGGUUUUCUAUAUCAUUUCUUUCUAGAAUUUUCCUUUCAUCUAAGUUCUAUCCUUGGCUUUCAAUUUUCUGUUCCCAGGUCGGAUUGACAACAUUCUGUUCGUAGCUCAUAUUUGGUGUGGUUCUGAUGGUCAUUAUUAGUCUAAUGUGAUGCUCAUAAGUUGGGGUGCAAUUAAAUCUAUGUUAGUUUAAUGAAUUGCUUGUAUCAAAUCUGGGUAUCUUUUGCCUUAAGUUGCUCUUUGUUGUUAUGUAUAGCACUAUUAUUAUACUAACGGGAUAUCAGAUACGUUUUCAUGUUUCUUUGAGCGUUGUUUCUAGACGUUUCGCCAAGUAAGGAGUUCUCUGCCUGUUGAAUAAAAAUAAGUAUCAUCUUGAUAAUUGAUUGAAGUGUUAGUUGUUAGGAUGCUAUAGUAUUUGUGUACCCACUGAAUUUCUUCUAGUUAUUCAUGCUUAAAUUAAUUCCAUAUGUGUGGAUCAUAUUUUUGUUCCAUUGUUUUAUAAACUUGAAUGCAGUUAGGCAUAUGUUAUAAACUCGAAUGCAGUUAGGCAUAUGUUAGAGUAAAUAGUUGCUUCUGCCAAAUGUGGUCCCUUUUCGUAAUGUUUUCCCUUCCUCUGGAUCUUAUGACAUUACACCAUUAAAAUAUAUUUUAAUGCUCUGCCAAGCAUUCUAUCUAAUUGGUUUCCUGCGUAUCGAAUGGAAUUACUAUUAUGUUUAUAUGGAUUGAACUAUUGGUUGUCAUUUUGCAGUGUUCGUGUAUCGGUUCAAAUUCUUUCUUAAGUUCUUUUAGUUGAAUUAUUUCCUCAUCCUUAUUUUUACAUGUUCCUUGCAUGAACCCGCUUUGUGAGAAAAAAAAAUGGACCCUAUUCCUGCUGUUGCAUUAUUAAUGGGGGCCAAUGAGACCCAUUCCUCACGAGCCAAUUAUUAAAAAUCUUAAAACAAGGACCUCAUAGUACGCGGAUCUGAGAGGUUAAUGAAGAACAGCAAUAGAUUAAAGGCCUACGUUUGGAGCGGUUAAGAGGCUCAAAAGUCUCAUUCGUUGUUUUAUUUACUUGUUUAUUUAUUUAUUCAUCUAUUUGGGUCUCAAAGCCAAAGUUGUAAAUUUAAUACAGGUGGAGCGAUACUCGAGCCAAAGGCUCGAAAUAUAAACUAGGAUAGGUGGAAGACGAGCUGAAAGCCUAAUAUCUAGACUAGGACAGGGUGACGAAUUUGGGCAUAAAGGCCCAAAUAAUUUAUUUCUUCCUCUAUUUUCCUUUCGUUAUUUUAUUUUCUUAGUGUUCGAAUCUAGUUAACUCCCUAACUAAGUCGCUAAAAAACUGAUUUUGCAAAAACCUUCUCAGUAAUUAACUACUUUUCCAACAAAUCGAUUUUUCAAAGUUAGUCAAAAGAACGUUUUCAAACAGAUUGGAUAACCGCAAGUUAGAGGACGUUUUAGGUGUCUAACACCUUCCUAAAACAUUAAUAGGAACCGCUUACUCAGAAUCUUCAAACUUAAAAUGAUUUUUCUGUUUUGAAUCGUUUGAAGUAACUCCCUAAAAGUUUCUUAAUUCCUUUUCAAAAUUAAGUGGCGACUCUCUUUCACAAAAUGUCAAAAUUUUAUCAAAACAGUGAUUACACUUUUUGAAUUUCAAAACACAAGUUCACCUUUCAAGAACUACAUUAAACCAUUUUCAAGUCACUAAUCCACUUUUCAAGUGACUAGUACACAUUUCAAGGAACUACACUUAACCAUUUUCAACGCUCUAAUUCACAUUUCAAGUGACUAAGUCUAACCAUUUUCAAGUCAUGAAUUCAUAUUUCAAGUGUCAACAGUAAACCAAUUUCAAGUUAUGAAUUCAUAGUUUCAAGUGAUUACACUUUACAAAUUUCAAAACACAAGUUCACCUUUCAAGAACUACACUAAACCAUUUUCAAGUCCCUAAUCCACUUUUCAAGUUACUAGUACAUAUUUCAAAAUGCUACACUUAACUAUUUUCAACACUGCACUGAACCAAUAUUCAAAACUUUAACGCGUCCGUUAAUGUUAAUUAAAACAUAUGCUUGAAUUCCACAUGUAUUUGUGAGUGAUUGAAUAUGGCACUAACACAGCAUGGGAUGGCCAGCUUGUUUGUGUAACAUAUUUGAAAACCCCAACUAACAAAUCUAUAAAAUAAAAUUGAAAGUGACAAUACCAAGUGAUAUAUAUAUAUAUAUAUAUGAUGAAUAAUGAAUAAUUAGAUAAAAAAAAUUAUUUAUUAUAAGAUUUUACGAAUUAACACAAGUUAUAUAGUUCUAGUCAUUACUCAACCAUAGUGUUAAUUAGGUCCAUUAAUGUUUCCUGUGUUUAUCCCUUAUGAUUCAUGAAAAAAAAAGAUUAUAUUCUAGUAUCUAAUGUUUCUAUUAAUCUAUAAUGAACUCCAACUAUGAGAGGGUUAUAACUUAGUGAUCAAAAGCAUAGGCAUAAUUAACAACUCAGUUUACAAACCCCUCCUGUAUUACUUCAACAAUAAAAAGGAAAUUAAAACUCAAAUGAACACAGAUAAACUACGAAAAAUACCAACUUCAAAAUAAAAAGAUCGAACCAAAAUACGAGAGAUAGAGAAGAAGGGGAUGAGAAGUGCAGACUUAAAAUUAGGGAUGAGAAGACUACGGAUUUUUCAUAGUAAUUUUGUUUGCCUCUUCUCUUCUUCAUACGUGUUAUUAUUUAUAACUAAUGCAUCACCCGAGUCCCACACAUAACUUUUUCAUUUUCUAAUUUUUCCCUUCACUGUAUAUUCUUGACUCAAAUCAUUCAUAACACAUAAGUAAACGUCAAUUAAACUAAAUUUGUUCAUCAAGCACAACUGAAAAUAGUGAAAAAUAAUAAAGCAGCAAGUAGAUAUCAAUUAAGGUAAGAGAGCUAACGGAGAAAAGAAUGAGGAAGACCAGAGAGGCGGUGGGACGACUGAUAUAGAUGGCUUUUCGUCAAUGAAAACUCCGGCGUUAUCUCGAUGGCGGCAUCCACUAGUGCUUUGCCGGCUAACAUCGCGGAUGCUGAGAGCAUUUCAUGGUGUCAGCGCUGGCUUUGAGGCUAGCCGAUUGGUCUGUCAAUAUUGGCGACACGACAGGGAGAAGAAGAAGGCAAGGGAGGCGGCGCCAUUGUUGGUCAGUCCACCGGCGGCGGUUCGCUGUCUGUUAUGAGAGUCUUCUAGAGAGAGAGAAUAUAGGGAAGGAAGAGCCUUUGUGCGACGGAAAAAUGGGGGCUUAGGGUUUGGUCAUGUGUUUUAAAAGGAAAGAGAGGGUAUUUUGAUCUCAACCGUUGGAUCAGUUUUGAUCGACGAUUGAGAUUUAAAGAUUGAGAAUUUGAUCAAAUUUGCAUAAAUUUUUCAAUUGAGUCACAAAUUGGCUAUAAUUGUAAUAAAUUGAAUAAAACUAGGCUAAAAUUGGUAUAUUAUGGUAAUAAAUUGGCUCAAAAAAUAAAUAGAUCAGAUAAACUGAUUUAAUUUAGGAUAUUAUUUAAAUAAAUAUUAUAAAUAAUAAUAAUAAUAAUAAAAACUAGACAAUAUAUUUGCAAAAAAUAUGAGUGUGCACCAUUGCGUGAAAAAAAUAAUUUAAUAAAAUUAUGUAAAAUGUCAUAUUUGAGUUUAAAAAUUAUAGAAAAUGGUACUAAAAUAAUUUGUGCAUUUUUCUAAAUUAUGAAUGUGACAUGUCAAUAUGUAUUUAAUAUAAGAAUAAUGUGCACAAAAAUAUUAAUAAUUGAAAUCAAAUAAUUUUGAUAAAAUAACAGCCUAAAAGUAGUAUCGGGAGGUCAAAAUUGGGUGUAAACAUCAGCCGUUGGAUCAAUUUUGAUCAACGGCUAAGAUUAAAAUUACUUUAAAAAGGGUAAAAAAAAAUUAAUAUCAAUUUGGUUAAAAUUGACAUUAAUUGUGUACAAGAUGGCUAGAAAAUAAACACAUUGAGAAAUUAAAUUGAAUGGAAUUAGGCUCGCUAUUUUAAUAAAUGUGAUAAUGAUGAGAAAAGACAUCGAUAUCAAAAUAAACCAAGCAUGUAAAAAUUAAUGUUAUAUAAAAUUAUCGAUAGUAGUAAUAAUAAAGACAAUGCAUUUGUAAAUUGUGAGUGUGCACAUUUACGUAAAAAUAAAUAAAUAUUAAUAAAAAUUAUGUAAAAUGUCGGAUUUGAAUUAAUAAAUUAUGAAAAAUGAUAAUUUAAUAAAUGUUGAAAUGACGAUAAAAAUAGUAAGACGUCAAUAUUAAAAUAAACUAAGCAUGUAAGAAUUAAUAUUACGUAAAAUUACUAUAUAAAAUAGCAGCCUGAGAGGGGUAUCGUGAGGUCAAAAUUGGAUGUCAACACAAUUAAACCGAUUUAGUCCCACAAAUUAGGUCUGUGGAGGGUACAGUGUACAUAGACCUUCUAGAAAACCUAUUCAAGCUUGAAGAUUCUUGUAAAAUAAAACACAUCAUGUAGGAUUUUUGCUGCAAUUAAGAUUUCAUUUUUUUUCUUGUUAAUUAGUUGCUACUAUUUCUAUGUUAUGCAUAUUUUCUUAUUGGUUAAACCGAAAAUCGAACCGUUAAGGACUAAAAAUCGAUAAACCAAAAAUCGAUAAAAAAAUACCUUAUUGAUUUGAUUAUUGGUUUAACUUAUUUAAAAAUCGAUAACCGAUAAACCAAACUAAUAAUAUAUAAAAUCAAACCGAACCAACUAAUGCACACCCCUAAUUUAAAAAAAAAUAGUGAAAUUAAUUUAAUAUUGACCGUUGAUCAAAUAUGAUGAACGGUUGAGAUUAAAAUUGAGCAGAUGAAUCAAAUUGGGAUUAGAAAUUGGGUUAAAAAAAUUGAAUUGGAGAUUUCGAUUAUAUUAAUACAACGUAUUAAUAUGAUGAAUUGUCGGUUAAUUGGCUUCAUUAUUAUAACUUCACUAGUGUAUGAUUACCUCGAUCAUAUGGUGUUAACGUAUUAUUCAAAAUAUUUGAAUAUAUAGAUUCAGUUAGCUAUCUUUUAACUACUAUGUACAUCACUAUACGAGAGAUACGUAUUUAUACAUACAUACAUACAUACAUAUAUAUAUAUAUAACUAUCAACUUUGUAAUAUGUACUAUAUACAUUACAUACACGAGUAUAGUACCUCGUAAUACGUCGUAUUUUAUUUCUACUCUGAUGAAUUAUCGUUUAAUUUAGCUUACAUUAUUAUGUUAUAACUUCAACAAUAUAUUAUUACCUUGAUCAAUCGAUUGUAUUAUAUCAAUGUAUUCAAUAUAUAUAGUUGAUUGACUAUAAAAUUCACAAUAUGUACUAGAUACAUCAGAUACACAUGUAAAUUACCUCGUAAUACAACGUUUUGUAUAUAUACAAUGAUAAAUUAUGAUUUAAUUUAGCUUAUAUUAUUAUAUUAUAACUUCAAUAGUAUAUGUUUUUUUGAUCAAUCGAUCGUAUGAUAUUAUAAUUGAAUACAUUUAGUUUUUUAAAAUAUAAAAAUUAUUUAUUUAAUAGUAAAUUUAAAAUAUCAAAUAUCGACGGAUAGUGUCGUUUUCAUAAAGUUAAUUUUUAUUUAGUUUUAACAAUUGUCCGUCACUUUUUAAAAAAAAAAUAAAGAAAAAUUAAAAAUAUUUACAAAUUGUGACGGACAACGUCUCAUUUCUAGAAUUAAUAAUUUAAAAAAUAAAAAUUAUAGCGAUGUUGUCCUUCGCUUUUAAUAAAACUAAACAAAAAUAAAAAUUAAAUUUAAAAAGUGAAGGACAACGUCGCUUUUCAAAAAAAUAAUUUUUAUUUAGUUUUAAAAAAGCGACGUUGUCCUUCGCUUUUUAUAAGAAAAAAAAAUUAAAAAUAAUUACAAAUUGUGAUGGACAGCGUCGCUUUUCUGUAAUUAAUAUUUUUAAAAAUAAAAAUUAUAGCAACGUUGUCCGUCGCUUAUAAUAAAAAUAAAUAAAAAUAAAAAUUAAAUUUAAAAUGCGACGAACAACGUGACUUUUCAAAAAAUUAAUUUUUAUUUAGUUUUAUCAAAAGAGACGUUGUCCGCCGCUCUUUGUAAAAAAUAAAAAAAAUUAAAAAUAAUUAUAGAUUGCGACGGACAACAUUGCUUUUCUAGAAUUAAUAUUUUAAAAAAUAAAAAUUAUAGCGACGUUGUUCGUCGCUUUUAAUAAAAAUAAAUAAAAUUAAAAAUCAAAUUUAAAAAUCGACGGACUACGUCGCUUUUCAAAAAAUAAUUAUUAUUAUUUGUAAAUAAAUUACGACGUUAUCCGUUGCAUUUAUUACAAAAAUUAUAAAUUAUUUUUCAAUUAGUUGACACAAUAAUCCGCUAGAAAAGCGAUGUAUAUUAAGACGUUGGCCUUCAAUUUUAAUAAAAAAUAAAUAAAAAUAAAAAUAAAAAUAAAAAAGCAACGGACAGUGUUGCUUUUUAAAGCGACACAGUUCGUCGCUUUUUUUUUUGCGUUGCUUUUUGGCCUUUUUUUAGUUGUGAAGGAAAUACGUCUCCUUACAAAAAUCCACUUGAAUUAUCUAAGUAAAUGCGUCUCCUGGACAAGAAAGUGGGUCUUCUAGAGAUAUUGGAUUAUAAGUUUUACCAUAGUUUUGAUCACCAAACUUGUGCAACAACAUUGUCUCUUGCAUUUGUAGAAGUGAGAAAUUACGAUCGUUGAUAUUUAGGCUUUAAAGUCCUUGUUUUGAAGGUAACAUGUUUCCUGUUUCAUCAAAGAAAACUUGUGAAUUUAAAAAAAACAUAUUGGCUGGUUUGUGGCUUAGCUUUUGCGGCACUGGCUCUUGCCCCUGUCACAUUUAAUCUUGUUUUCAACCAUUAGCAUAUGUCAUUGACUUGCUGCAUCAUUGAUCCGAACUCAGAUUAUUAAGAGUGACUCUGAAAUAGACACGGUAUCUUUGCUUUGCCAUGCUUCUCAGAUAAACCCUUUGAACCUUGGUAUUUCCAUGUGUUCCCAGACUUGUCUAUUGACAAAACUUUCUUCAUGCGUUAUUUUGGCUCACAAUCAUGUCUCUUCAUGUGGCACGACUUUUGUCUUACUUUAUGCAAUUGAAGAAGCUGGUGACCAGUUUUGAAAUCUUUUCUCACUUGUUUUGACAUGGACUUGACUCAAUGACAAGAGAAAAAUGACAAUAAUUUUUUAUUUGAAUAAUUGACUCAAGAAAAUAAAAUAAAAAUAAAGAGACGAAAGAAAAGACAAGGAAUAGCCCCAUUUGAAACAAAGAAAUGAAAAAUUUAUCUAAAAAUGAUAGUCAACUCUAAUGAUUAUACCAUGCAUUUUGGAUUAAGCUGUCUAACCUUUCCAUCCAAAAUUUCUACCAAUUGUUCUUGAGUUAAUGGCCCUGAAACUGAGUUACUUCCUUGGACCAAUUGCAUUCGUAGACUUCAUUCGGCUAGUGGUGCCUUAAAGGGUUUUUGCCAACAAGUCUCUCUCAUUUUCUUUCUCUCAGCUCACCAUUUUUCUAUGGUGUCCAUGAGGGUUUUCAGUAAUGAGACUCUGUCGUUUUUAUCACUCUCAGCUCACCAUCGCCUUAUGGUGCCCGUGAGGGUUUUCACCAAUAAGGCUUUCUCAUUUUUAUUUCUCUCAACUUAAUCGUCUUAUGGUGCCCGAAAGGGUUUUCACUAGUAAGACUCCCUCAUUGUUAUUUCUCUCCUAAUUCUUUAUACUGAGGAAGAAAAGUAGUUACCAAAUGCAUCAUCAUAUCCAUUGCAUGCUUAGCCUUAACAUUCUCAAAUAUUGAUCUGAAGGUCUUUCUUUGCUUGUAACUUGGAUUUUGGAUAAGGUUAGAAAGAAAGGAUGACAUGAGGCUCAAAAGACACUUGAAGUGGGGUAGGACUUACAACUUUUAGAAUCGACUCAAACAAUAAUGGUUAACUCAUGCCCCAGUUUCUUUUAACUGGGUGAUUCUAAAUUGUUUAUUUGGUUGGACUGAGCCCAGAGUAAGGCAACCUGCGUAUCUCACCCCCGAGAGAGGAGAAUCAGGUCACAUGUAGUUCUGACAACUUAUUCUUUUGCUUGAUUUUGAUUUAUUUUCUUUUUUUUAUUGAUACUCUUUUUUCUUUGGGACCUUUUCUGACUCUAUUUUUCUCAACACUCUUCUCUUUCUUUUUUUUUUUGACAUAUUUUUUCUCUUUUUUUUCUGACUCUAUUUUCACUCGACACAUUUUUUUUUGAACUUUGCUGACUCUAUCUUGAUUCCAAAAGAUGGGUACAAACAAAAAUAGAACUAAAGCUCAAAUGGGGUAAACAAAGGAUGACACGAUGUUUGGAUAGCAGAAUGGAAUGCUUGUGUCAUGUCAACCCUUAAAAAUGCAAGUACAUAACAUGCAAUAUGAAAGUGAAAGAUGAUGGUCAUUCGUGACCCUUUUUACAUCACUAACUUUAACUAAGCAUGUGUGUCACUACUUUUGCACUUUGUUCAACAUACAACUCCACUUUUGUUGUACAUUCCUCACAUUGAAUGACUCAUGAUUUCGUGAAGCUGAUUUUCUUUUUGUUCCUCUUGAUAUAGUAUUGCGCAUCCAACUAUUUGACCUAAUUGAGAUAUGUCUUUCCAUUGAUGACCAAGUUAUUCCUGUGAUUCUUAAAAUAAUUGCCUUAAUUUUGAAAUAAGGCUUCAAUAUGUCACCAAAUGUCUCAGCACUCUACCUAUUUUCUCAUCUGCUUUUUCUAACUUUAUCCUUCUGAUUCAAAGUUCAUGCUCAAUUUGGAUUUUAAUAUCUAGCUGAAAAUUCUGCAAGCAUGUCAUAGCACUAGAGCCAAUAUAAAAUAUACUACAUAAAUAAAAAAAACAAACAACACAUAUUUAAAACACAAAGGGAAAAGGGACACUAUAUUUAGUUGAAAUAGAAGAUAAAAGGGCUUGAACAUAACCGACAAAAGGACAAAACAAGAUAGAUCCUGAACUACAACCCCUGAAAUAAUUCGAAUAACAAAAAAGAAAAGAAAACAAACUACCAGACCCCUUCCUAGUAAGGAGAGAAGUGACUUCUAACUUGCUGAGCUUCACAUCUUAGCCACUGGUUUGCAUAUCAGCAUGACUAAAAAUUUUCUCACUGUUAACGUUUUACACCAUAAUUGAUUUAUCUUGAAUUAUAUUUUCUAUUUCUCUUUUCAAAGCACGACAAUCUUCAGUACUGUGACCUUGAAAAUCAGAAUGAUAUGCGCAUCGUACAUUAGGAUCAAAACUUCUUGAAUGCGGGUCAGGAGUAUACCCAAGGAGAGGAGUGAUCAUACCCUGUCGUACCAAUCUCAGGAAUAAACUAGCAUACGACUCUCCAAUUGGUGUGAAGCUAUUUCUUGACUGCUGCCUUAUUUUAUUAUUUAGCUUGGAUCGAAAAUCAGGCCUAGAAGGGCUUUGGUAUGUUUGUGGAGUUGGAGGGUGACUGUGAGGAGUUGGUGCAUGCCAUUGUGGGUAAGGUGAGGGUUAAACAUGUGGUUGUACAUUAUACACUGGAUAUGGAUGUGGAAGAAUGGAGUAUAAUGGAUUUUGGGAGUGAUUCUGUGGAGCUUGGGCAUGAACUUGGGUUUGAGCCUGAGGGUAACGACGACGUGGUCUUCUUGUCCGUGCUCGCUGUCCAACUACAAUAGCAGAUACAUUUUCCUCAUUCGUUUUUCUCCCAAUGCUUCCUGAACCCUUUUGAAUUACUUAAGUAGUUGCUUUCAAUGUUGCAAAACUCACAAUGCGACCAGUCUUAAUUCCAUCCUCUAUCAUCUUCACCAUUUUGAGAGCCUCAAUAAAUGGCUUGCCUAAUGCAGGUAACAAGUGUUGAUAAUAUGUUUCAUCCUGUGCUUGAAUAAACAUCUCCACUAUUUUGCUUUCUUUCAUUAGCGGCUUCACCCUAGCAGCUUGUUCAGGCCAUCGAAUCGCCUACUCUCUGAAACUUUUAGUACUCUUCUUCUUUAUGUUAGUUAGGAUUUCUCAUUAGAAAUCAACUCCACAUUGUAUUGAAAUUAUUGCACGAAUUCAUUAGCUAGGUCAUCCCAACUAAUCUACUUAUCGAUGUCUUGGAACCAUUUCGAAGCUAGGCCUGAAAGAUUCUCACCGAAAUCAGCCAUGAGCAAUUCUUUCUUCCCUCCAGCGCCCCUUAAUUGGUUACAAUAACGCCUCAAAUGUACCACUGGGUCACUGUGCCCAGACAUAUUUCUCAAACUUUGACAUUUUAAAGCCAAGAAGGAGAUUAACACCUAGAAACAUACACAGAUAUUUAUAUGAGACACUUUUGUACCCCUCAAGUCCUUGGAAAUUCUUCAUAGCCAGUUCCAAACUUUUCAAUUUUCUGAUCAUUUUCUUUUGUUCUUCUUUCAUAACAGGUUUUUCAGCAUUAAGAGAAAAUUCAGGCGGAUGAGUGUAGCCAUAUGGACCAGUCGACUUAAAUAUGGGCUCGAGAGCACAAUAUUGAUCACUAAAAAUAUUCAAUACAGGGUCUCUUGUAGAGUAAGGAAUCACAAUCGUUCGAUUAACAUUAAAAGCAGGAACUUCAGGCAAUGGUGGCAUCGCAAAAGCAUGAACAGUAGGAACAUGUGGUAACUUUGUGUUAAGGAGUGAGGAAAUGAAUAUUGGAAGUGUUUGGAUAGUGUUGCCCCGAAGUAAUCCCUGAUGCAUGUCGUGGCAUGUCAACAAAAAUGGGAAAUUAUGUAUGUGACACGGGAGGGAAACUAGUAAGAUAUUCUAUAUUAUCAGUGGGAAAUGGAGGAGGUGGAAACCCAUUAGCCCAAGCUCAAUGCAUUUCUAUCAUUUACUGCCUUAAUUUUCAAAUUUCUUCAUUAUCUCCUAAAUUCUCAUUCCCCGAACUCUCUGAUUAGUGACAACAACCUCGGUAUUCUUGUUGGCCAUAACUUUCUCUUAGACUUGGUGCAAUAUGGAGGACCAAUCAAAAUUCCACAAACCAACUACCUUAAACUAACUAGACAAGAGAUAGCAAAUGCAUUAGAGUUCCACAAUUUUUCAAAACACUUUUUCUGCUUUUCUUUUGAAAAGAACACAGAACCCAAAAAGAGCACCUACGUAUCUCACCUCUGAGAGGGGAGAAUCAGGUGUGCGUAGUUCGUGAAGUUUUGGCACAACAUGGCUGAUCAAACUUUUUUGUUGAAACUUUAAGAAGAAAAGAAAAUAACAAAUUGUCAAGAGAAUUGACGAAAAUCUUUUUGAAUUUUUCAUCUUUAACAUUUCUAUACAAAAUGAAACCUAUGAUUACCAAAGAAAAUAUUUUGGGGUUUUCGAUUUUGAAUUUCAUACCAAAAUGAAACUUGAACCUAUUAAAGAAAAAUAUUUUUGUAGUUUUGUUUUUAAAGAUGUAUAUGACACAUACUCUAAAUGAAGAGUGAAGAAUUUUUUUUUGGAUUUUUUAAAUAAGAUCUCCAAACCCACAAUAGGCUGCCUAGGUAUCUCACUCCCGAGAUAGGAGAAUUAGGAGUGUGUAGUUCAUCCAUCUUGGACAAUUAAGGAUUAAAUAACCAACUUAACCCUGACUUGAGAGACACGAUCAAGACAAACGAAAUGUCAAUAAAAUCUUUUUUGAGUUUUCAGUUUGACACAUCACAUAAAAAUGACACGAAAAACUAUGAAAGAAAAAUCUUUUUAGAAUUUUCAUUAUAUGAAAUGUAUAAAACUUCUACCGUCGUUUUUGAAUUUUCCUUUUAUAAAAAGCUCCUAUUGAAAAAAAAAAUCUUUUUGGAGUUUUCGAAUUGUGAAUGCUUACUAAAGAAACAAAAGGAAAAUCUUUUGAUGUUUUUAAUUUUUUUUGGGAAAUGAGUACAAAAGGUAAAAAACAACUUUUUGAAUUUUUAGAUUUUGAAAAGCAAAAGCCAUAAAGAACUCUAAAACUACGAAACUCUUUUUUCUUUACUCACUUUUUUUUUUCAACCUUUCCUUGCCUACACACUUUCCUUUAAUUCUAGCAAAUGCUUUUUUCCCAAACCAGUCUGUCAAAUGACCAUAUUAGCCUCCAAGAUGCUAUAAUUAGCACGUUGAGAUGCUUUAGUGGUGGGUUUCUUACAAAGGACCAAGUGGAUCCCGCUAGGUCUCAAUAUGAUGCAGAUAAGCAUGACCUAAAGACUGACCUACACUAGGGUCCACUAAUAAAGCCAUUCGGGGGAGCAUAUUAUCGAUAGUGGCUUUUUUGCUUUCCAUCUACUCCAUACAUCCGAUGGCUCACCCUCCUAAAAUAAGGGUGGCUCAACUACAGUUCGUGUACACGAUGUGUACUUUGGGACUUGUUGCAGAAAAAUUGAAAACUGCAAACAAAUAGCACGUAGGUACUCAACAAUGAUAAAACAAUCACACAAAUAAUGUUUAUACACCCACAAUGUCAAACUAACACGAUACAACUCCAAAAAAAAAUAAGCUCGAAUUCAGAAAAUUUUCCAGUGAAGUUGCUAGAGCUGUCACACCCUUUUUUCACCAAAAAGAUUACUUUCAAGUUCGAAAGAGGUUUUUAUUAUUAAAGUGACAAAAUAAAAAUUUAUUUUGAAAAAAAGAAUUAUUUUUACAUUCAAAUUCAGAGUCGCCACUUGGCAUAAUCAGGUGUGCCAAGUCGCCUUUGGAAAUCCCUUUUCAAAAUUGUUUUUGACUCUUUUAAACUGAUUUGCGAACAGAGAUUCCUGCUAAGGAAUUUUGUUGACCCAAGGGAAGGUGUUAGGCACCACUCGAUCCCGUGGUUCGAUCAUGAUCUCUUCGUGGAGUAUAUCGGCUGGUACGACACUAUGAAUGUAUAAACCACAUAAAACACACAAAACAAUCAAUCAAACAAACAAAAUAAAACAAGUUCAAAAAUAUAAUGUCCAGUCCAAAUUAUUUAGUCCCAAAAAUAGAAAAAUGUGGAAAUAUAAAUCCUGCUCUAAACUAAUCCUAUACUAAGCUCCAAUGCUUUACCCGAUGCCUCGGACCUUCAUCACAAACCUCCUUUCCGUACAUGAUACAUCGGAGCAUUACCCGGUGAAUAAAUACAAUGUGACCUCGGGGCAUUCCCGAGCGAAUGAAUACAUUUGAUGAAAUAUAAUAAAAGUGGAGGACUCAUUCAACACAGACAUUCACAUAUUCAAUGAUAUAGAAUCCUAUGAGUUGCCUACCCCAAAACCUAAAAUUUGCCUAUCAAGUUUUUGGCCUGAAACAUGAUCCUAUCGAGUUCACAAAAUUAAUAUUUAUUUCGAAUUAAACAAAAAAACAAUAAAUCAAAAUUAAUACAAAUUCACAUUUUCAUCAAGUUUUCGAUUCCCACCCUGAUUUUGUUAUCCAAUUACCAAUUUUAAUUAUUCAAUAAAAUAUCAUUUUCACCCAAUUUUACCAUUCGAGAUCAAUCAUUCAACACAAACACAUGUCAAAUAACAAAUCACCCCCAAAUAGAACAAACACAUCAAAAUGCCUCCAUAAUCAUAUAAAAUUAAAGGAAUAGAGUUGAAGAUUGGAUCUCAAUUUGAUGCUUUUGUUUCAAUUAAACUCGGAGGAGCCUUACGAAUUCAGAACCUCAUAUCAAACCUCAACAGUCAACAAACGAGACCGCAACUCAAAGGAAAACCAAAACCAGCUAGAAACUUCCAAAUGAAACCCAAUUCACUGAUUUUGAAUUAGGCUUAAAUCGCUCAUCAGAAUCAGGGUCGGUUUAUCAUUUCUAUCACGUCGAAGCUGCGGUGAACCAGACAGUCCACAAAAUAGGUCUUUUACCGAAGAAAGAUCGCAAAAAGGGGAUAGCAAUUUUUGGGGUUGUGAACGAUCCAUUUCUGUGGGGGUAUUUUGAUUCUGGUAAAACAAACUCAUCAGAAAAUAGUCGAAUCUACCCAUUUUCUCUCACCCAAACCACUCACUGUUCUCUCUCCUAGUCCAUAUCUUUCUUCAGCUCCUCUGUGUGUGCAUAUGUGUGAUAGCAGUGUGUGUAUGAUUUUGUUCAUGGAUGAAGCAGUGAGGAUGAGUGAUUCCAGUGGGAGAUGAAUUUGUGAGUAUGUGCAUUUGUGUAUAUGAAUUGAGUGUGUUCUGAGAAUUCUCGAUGGAGGAGGCUUUAUGAGUGUAUGUGUGUGAUGAAUUAUGAAGGGAAUCUGUGUUGUUGUUAUCUGGGUGAGUCUCGAUGGUGGUGAUAGAGUGUCCUUUUUAAUGGUGUGUGUAUGCGUAUAUAAUGUGUGUGAAUUCUAUUCCAUAGGAAAGAAAAAGUGCCUUUGAUUGAGGGGUGAG